GAUGAACGCUGGCGGCGUGCCUAAUACAUGCAAGUCGAGCGAACAGAUGAGGAACUUGCUCCUUUGACGUUAGCGGCGGACGGGUGAGUAACACGUGGAUAACCUACCUAUAAGACUGGGAUAACUUCGGGAAACCGGAGCUAAUACCGGAUAAUAUAUUGAACCGCAUGGUUCAAUAGUGAAAGACGGUUUUGCUGUCACUUAUAGAUGGAUCCGCGCCGCAUUAGCUAGUUGGUAAGGUCACGGCUUACCAAGGCAACGAUGCGUAGCCGACCUGAGAGGGUGAUCGGCCACACUGGAACUGAGACACGGUCCAGACUCCUACGGGAGGCAGCAGUAGGGAAUCUUCCGCAAUGGGCGAAAGCCUGACGGAGCAACGCCGCGUGAGUGAUGAAGGUCUUCGGAUCGUAAAACUCUGUUAUUAGGGAAGAACAAAUGUGUAAGUAACUAUGCACGUCUUGACGGUACCUAAUCAGAAAGCCACGGCUAACUACGUG
rnacentral:rRNA from 1 species